GAACAGACUUCAGUGGGACAGAAACUCUGGACUCUUUACACUCACAGAGCUGCAGAGGAACGACUCAGGGAUUUAUACUGUCGACUCUAAAACAGGAAACGAUUUCACAUCAUCAUAUAAGCUCACAGUGUACGACUCUGUACCGACUCCUGCAGUGAAGAAAGUGAGUGUGAGCUCUGAGAGCUGCUCCUUACUGUGUUUGGUGGACAGAGAGACCAAACUGCUGUGGUUUAAAGACGAGCAGAGACUGAACCAGAGCAGCUCUGCGCUCUCUCUGCCUCUCACUGUGCACAAACAGGACUUCAGCUCCUCUUACAGAUGUGUGGCUGCAAACCCUGCAGAGAAUAAAACUCUUCCUGUCCAUGUGAGAACGACCUGUGGAGACACCAACAACGACACCAACAGCUCGACUGAACCAAGAAACUAUAACAUCCUCAUUAUAAUCUUCUGUGUCCUGAGUGCUGCCCUCAUCAUCAUCAUCAUCAUCCUCAUCAUGAGGAGGAAGCAUCCUGUCCAAGACAAGUUUAACCUCCUACAAGCU
ensembl:lncRNA